AGCAGGGUGGCCUAGUGGAAAGGGCGCGGGCCUGAGCGUCAGAGGACUGGGUUCUAAUCUCGGCUCUGCCA
rnacentral:tRNA from 1 species